rnacentral:rRNA from 1 species
UGUGUAGGUGGUUGUGUUAGUCUUCUGUUAAAUUCUUCGGCUUAACCGGGGGCAUGCAGAGGAAACGGCACGACUUGAAGAUGCAAGGGGAGUAUGGAACUCAUAGUGGAGGGGUGAAAUCCGUUGAUAUUAUGGGGAACACCGAAAGCGAAGGCAGUACUCUGGUGCACUCUUGACACUGAAACACGAAAGCGUGGGUGCGAAUG